rnacentral:rRNA from 1 species
GAAUUGAGGGGGGCUGCUCCUAGUACGAGAGGACCGGAGUGGACGCAUCACUGGUGUUCGGGUUGUCAUGCCAAUGGCACUGCCCGGUAGCUAAAUGCGGAAGAGAUAAGUGCUGAAAGCAUCUAAGCACGAAACUUGCCCCGAGAUGAGUUCUCCCUGAGACUAUAAGUCUCCUGAAGGAACGUUGAAGACGACGACGUUGAUAGGCCGGGUGUGUAAGCGCAGCGAUGCGUUGAGCUAACCGGUACUAAUGAACCGUGAGGCUUAACCUU